rnacentral:rRNA from 1 species
ACUCCUACGGGAGGCAGCAGUGGGGAAUAUUGGACAAUGGGGGCAACCCUGAUCCAGCCAUGCCGCGUGUGUGAAGAAGGCUUUCGGGUUGUAAAGCACUUUCAGUGAGGAGGAAGGCUGUAAGGUUAAUACCCUUGCAGAUUGACGUUACUCACAGAAGAAGCACCGGCUAACUCC